rfam:Oscillatoria nigro-viridis PCC 7112, complete genome.
GUAAGGAACCCCACGCUUAAAAGCGGAGGCUUUUGGGAAGUCCGGCUCGUUCCGAGCGGUGCAAGAAGAAAGCCCGAACCUUACCAGAGACAGGAUUAGACCUACGUUUUUUGAGUCAUGAUACCGGAGAAUGCGACGCUAGUUUUCCGCUCUAUCGCUAAAAGUUAAACAGGCUCGGGCGGGGUUAAACCAGUGCUUUUGGCAUAACAAGCUCAUGAAACAUUCUCGAAGCGAACUUUAC